UUGCGAAUUUGUAGAUUUCUGAGAAUGGAACUAACUGGCGCCUUUGUUCGUGCAGCCGAGGCUCACUGCCCACAAUGGGCAGUGGGUCAGCGGGCU
rfam:Oryctolagus cuniculus unplaced genomic scaffold chrTn0352, whole genome shotgun sequence.